rnacentral:rRNA from 1 species
AUUGAACGCUGGCGGCAGGCUUAACACAUGCAAGUCGAGCGGAGAGAGGUAGCUUGCUACUGAUCUUAGCGGCGGACGGGUGAGUAAUGCUUAGGAAUCUGCCUAUUAGUGGGGGACAACAUUUCGAAAGGAAUGCUAAUACCGCAUACGUCCUACGGGAGAAAGCAGGGGAUCUUCGGACCUUGUGCUAAUAGAUGAGCCUAAGUCGGAUUAGCUAGUUGGUGGGGUAAAGGCCUACCAAGGCGACGAUCUGUAGCGGGUCUGAGAGGAUGAUCCGCCACACUGGGACUGAGACACGGCCCAGACUCCUACGGGAGGCAGCAGUGGGGAAUAUUGGACAAUGGGCGCAAGCCUGAUCCAGCCAUGCCGCGUGUGUGAAGAAGGCCUUAUGGUUGUAAAGCACUUUAAGCGAGGAGGAGGCUACUUUAGUUAAUACCUAGAGAUAGUGGACGUUACUCACAGAAUAAGCACCGGCUAACUCUGUGCCAGCAGCCGCCGUAACAC